UACGAAGGGAGCUAGCGUUGUUCGGAAUCACUGGGCGUAAAGCGCACGUAGGCGGAUUUGUCAGUCAGGGGUGAAAUCCCGGGGCUCAACCUCGGAACUGCCUUUGAUACAGCAAGUCUUGAGUUCGAGAGAGGUGGGUGGAAUUCCGUAGUGUAGAGGUGAAAUUCGUAGAUAUUAGGAAGAACACGGUGGCGAAGGCGGCCCACUGGCUCGAUACUGACGCUGAGGUGCGAAAGCGUGGGGAGCAACAGG
rnacentral:rRNA from 1 species